GCAGAACAGAACUUGCUGCGCAUAACUCCACAAUUAUCCUAUUGUGGAAAUUUGCUGGACUUCUGGCAAAGAUCUUUCUGGUUCUUCAGAUGACUGGAUCAAAGUAGAAAUGGAAAAAUGGUGGAUGGCCUGUCAACUUUGACAGUCCAAACUGCGCUGGAGAAGGAAAACAGAUUCUCAGAAACUAAGGUCCUCAUGAAAAAAUGUGAAAACCCUGACAGUCCAGAGUGCAAGGUAGAUGGUGAUCCGGAUUCUCCAGAAAUCAAGGGGCUCAACAAAGAGUAAAUUUGAUACAAUAUGUGAAUAACGUUUUGUUUCAUUAAGCGUACAAGGAUGCAAAAGGCAAUUGCUGGUGAGCUAACAAUUUGGGACUCCACAUGAAAACAUCAGACAGGAACACCACUCCUGACCAUACCAUUACUGCCUUCUCACAUUUGCAUUAUUCCUUGGGGUUGAGAGUUUCUUUCAAAAAAAUAAUUGUCAUAGGACAUGAAGGCUCUUCAAUGGGAAAUUGUCCAGGUUUCAGUGUUGAAGUUUGGAAAUAUUGAU